rnacentral:lncRNA from 1 species
CAGCGCACGCGCUCCCAUUCAAAGCAGACCCGCUCCGCGGCCGCACUGAAGCUCCAAAGCCGCGCCGCCUGCCCCAGCGCAGCUCUGUCUCGUGGGGCGCACGCCCGAGCCCGCCUGCCGGCCGCCGCCGCGGAGCCACCGCAAUCAGCGCAGGAGGCGGCCACCUCUUCGAGGGAGGGGUCUCGCCUGAGACUCCCCUUGGUCCCCGCCAUGGGGACCAUGGCACGACUGGAGGCGCCCCAGUGCCCCGGGUUCCUGGCCCGCCUCCUCGGUGGCACCUGGUGCCUGCUCUGUAUCGCCGGACAGGACUCAUUUCUUCAAGUGGUUUCGACUUCCUAUUAUCUGGAUUUGAUCCAUCACUUAUGUCAGAUCAACUAAGCCUGGUCCAUCAUGGUUACAAAGUGCCCAGCCUGGCACCAUGCAUGUGAUCGUGAUGAUACGAGAAAUCAAAGAGCACUUGGGAAAGUGUGAUUCAAAGCUGGGACCAACAAGAUGCAGUAUCCAUGGAUGUCACUGACCUGGCUUCCCGCCAUUAUGGCCACCAAUUAUGUGUGUCUUUCACUGAAGCGUCAACCACACCUCUGCCAUCAGGGGGGCAAUAGUGAUCUCAGUUAAC